CAGUCCCUGUUCGAUCACCGAAGUUAAGCAACGUCGAGCCUGCUCAGUACAUAGAUGGGUGACCGCUUGGGAAUACCAGGUACUGUAAG